GGGUUUUAGCCCAAACCCCUCUAAUUUCAUUUCAACAGAAAAAUCUUUUCCAUUUGGAAACAUUCUGAACGAUUCUCCUAACCCGAUGGCCUUCGCCGCCGCUAGAUCCAUUUUCCGGUCACCGUCCGUGCGCAAUGCCGCAUCAAAGAUAGCGUCGGAGGCUAAAGCAGCUCGAUCUCCAUUUCGCACGGCUUCUAGAACUCCUCUUUCCAAUCGCAUCUUUAGGUGUCCUGCUGAGUUGAGCGCUUGUGUGGAGUCACUGCAACCAUACCACACUGCUACAGCUUCGACUUUGAUGACUUCCAUGCUUACUGACUCUCUCCGUAGUUACAGUUGGCUUUCCGAAGGUAUCUAGCAAGACCUAUAGGACCCUCGUUCGAUGUCCUUCCCCUCAUUUACGACUUUGGCGUUGACAAGACUAGAUGAAGGAGAAGCUUAGAGGACUGAGUUGGAUUCAUUUAUAUUUGGAAGCUUUCAGUUUAGAAAUUGCUACUUGCAUAAAAUUUGCUGAGUACUUCUGCUGGUUUAGAAAUAAACUAUGAUGGUUGUUAGGGGUGUAUAAUGACCGCAUAUUCUGUAGAUUUUGCUGAUGAAUAUCCCAUCACAAAAAGAUUUAGCCGAUGCUUAUUUGCACUGAGAGAUUUUUAUUUCAUAUUCUUGUGCAUUCUGGCUCUUAUUCAUGGAUGCCAAUUGGAUUUAAUAACUUGACAAGCACUAUCAUGUUUUCUUU